AAAACUUUUCAGCUAGAGUUUGAUAGAGGAAAGCAGAAUUUCUAGUGUAGAGGUGAAAUUCGUAGAUAUUAGAAAGAAUACCAAUUGCGAAGGCAGCUUUCUGGAUCAUUACUGACACUGAGGAACGAAAGCAUGGGUAGCGAAGAGGAUUAGAUACCCUCGUAGUCCAUGCCGUAAACGAUGUGUGUUAGACGUUGGAAAUUUAUUUUCAGUGUCGCAGCGAAAGCAAUAAACACACCGCCUGGGGAGUACGACCGCAAGGUUAAAACUCAAAUGAAUUGACGGGGACCCGCACAAGUAGUGGAGCAUGUGGUUUAAUUCGAAGAUACGCGCAGAACCUUACCAACACUUGACAUGUUCGUCGCGACUUUAAGAGAUUAAAGUUUUCGGUUCGGCCGGACGAAACACAGGUGCUGCAUGGCUGUCGUCAGCUCGUGUCGUGAGAUGUUGGGUUAAGUCCCGCAACGAGCGCAACCCUCACUUUUAGUUGCCAUCAUUAAGUUGGGCACUCUGAAAGAACUGCCAGUGAUAAGCUGGAGGAAGGUGGGGAUGACGUCAAGUCCUCAUGGCCCUUACGUGUUGGGCUACACACGUGCUACAAUGGUAUUUACAACAGGAAGCAAGACGGCGACGUUAAGCAAAUCCUUAAAAAAUACCUCAGUUCGGAUUGCACUCUGCAACUCGAGUGCAUGAAGCUGGAAUUACUAGUAAUCGUGGAUCAGCGUGCCACGGUGAAUGCGUUCCCGGGUCUUGUACACACCGCCCGUCACACCAUGGGAGUUGGUUCUACCUUAAGGCAAGGCUUAAAACCCUGAC
rnacentral:rRNA from 1 species